rnacentral:rRNA from 1 species
CACGUAGGGCGCAAGCGUUGUUCGGAAUCACUGGGCUUAAAGGGCGCGUAGGCGGGCCAGCCAGUCUGUGGUGAAAGCCUCCAGCUUAACUGGAGAAGUGCCGUGGAUACUGCUGGCCUCGAGGAGGAUAGGGGCAUCUGGAACGGUCGGUGGAGCGGUGAAAUGCGUUGAUAUCGACCGGAACUCCGGUGGCGAAGGCGGCUCACUGGACCGGUACUGACGCUGAGACGCGAAAGCCAGGGGAGCAAACGGG